AUUUUAUAUUAUACUUAUAUUUUAACUAUCAAAUCUCCAUAACCAAUUGAAUCCGCCUGACUGAGAUUUACAAGAUAACCAUAGCUUGCUUCAAGCCGAUAAUCUCCGUGGAAUCGACCCUUACUUACGUAAAGUAUUACUGGGACGACCCAGUGCACGUGCUGGUUAGUUGUGCGGAAUUGCAAAACGGUGAUUGUGAUUUUGUGCACCAAGUUUUUGGCGCCGUUGCCGGGGA